rfam:Rhodococcus fascians strain 1168 contig512, whole genome shotgun sequence.
GGUUUUCUUCGCAGCGGAGCUCGACCGCCCACGCAAGUGAUCUGCGCGUUCAUCGACGCGAAAAAAGAUCAGUACGGGGUCGAGCCGAUCUGCCGCGUUCUCUCCGAACACGGGUGCAAGAUCGCCCCG